rnacentral:rRNA from 1 species
GACAGAGGAUGCAAGCGUUAUCCGGAAUGAUUGGGCGUAAAGCGUCUGUAGGUGGCUUUUCAAGUCCGCCGUCAAAUCCCCAGGGCUCAACCCUGGACAGGCGGUGGAAACUACCAAGCUGGAGUACGGUAGGGGCAGAGGGAAUUUCCGGUGGGAGCGGUGAAAUGCAUUGAGGAUCGGAAAGAACACCAACGGCGAAAGCACUCUG